UUCUCUGGAAGAGAGCUCUCUUCAGUCCACUCUGAAAUGGCUGUAGGGUUUCAUUAGCUGCCGACUCAUCCAUUCACCUGCCAAGAACCAUGGACAGGUCUGGUCUUGGUAGCCGAGUGGGUGGCGCGGGAGCUAAAAUCAAGCUCUACGCUGUUUGUGGUUGGACUGAAGGGUGCUCCCUUUUGUUUGCUC
rnacentral:pre_miRNA from 1 species